AACGCAUCUUGCGCUUUCGGGUGACCGAGAGCAUGCCUCUUUGAGUAUCGUUACAAACCAAAUCGGCUGCGACCUUUUUCGAAAGGUUGCUGAGUCCGGAUAAUGAGAGUCUCAACUGAUCUUUUUUCGGUUGCGUCUCUUUAAGUAUUCACUACAUGACCUUAAUGUGCUUUGAUCAUAAGAAAUUAUGGUUCAAAGAGCAUUAUCUGGUUGAUGCUUGAUACGUGACUUCGGUCAUUCUCUGCAUCUGACCUGGAUAGUGUCUCGAUGAAUCUUCUUUUGAUGUAACGUCGAAAGACAGGCCAUCUAGGUUUUCUAGUAAGGAAAACUAUUUUUUCUUGAAACUCGAUCUCAAAUGAAGCAAGACAACCCGCCGAAUUUAA
rnacentral:misc_RNA from 1 species